UGCUUGUGAGACAGAUCUGUAUAGCAGG
rnacentral:piRNA from 1 species